rnacentral:rRNA from 1 species
GGCGGCGUGCUUAACACAUGCAAGUCCGACGAGAAAGUCCCUUCGGGGAUGAGUAAAGUGGCGCACGGGUGAGUAAUACGUGGGUAACCUACCUUUAUGCCAGGGGAUAACAUCUCGAAAGGGGUGCUAAUACCUGAUAAGACCACGUUGCGGAUGCAACGAGGUAAAAGAUGGCCUCUGACUCAAGCUAUCGCUUAGAGAUGGGCCCACGGCCUAUCAGCUUGUUGGCGGGGUAAAGGCCCACCAAGGCUCUGACGGGUAGCCGGCCUGAGAGGGUGAACGGCCACACUGGAACUGAGACACGGUCCAGACUCCUACGGGAGGCAGCAGUGGGGAAUUUUGCGCAAUGGGCGAAAGCCUGACGCAGCAACGCCGCGUGAGGGACGAAGGCCUUCGGGUUGUAAACCUCUUUUAAUUGGGAAGAACCUCGCCCCUGCAAAUGGUGGGGGCGACUGACGGUACCAAUAGAAUAAGCCACGGCUAACUCUGU